GACGGGGACCCGCACAAGCGGUGGAUGAUGUGGAUUAAUUCGAUGCAACGCGAAAAACCUUACCUACCCUUGACAUGUCCGGAAUCCUGCAGAGAUGCGGGAGUGCCCGAAAGGGAAUCGGAACACAGGUGCUGCAUGGCUGUCGUCAGCUCGUGUCGUGAGAUGUUGGGUUAAGUCCCGCAACGAGCGCAACCCUUAUCAUUAGUUGCUACGCAAGGGCACUCUAAUGAGACUGCCGGUGACAAACCGGAGGAAGUGGGGAUGACGUCAAGUCCUCAUGGCCCUUAUGGGUAGGGCUUCACACGUCAUACAAUGGUCGGUACAGAGGGUUGCCAAGCCGCGAGGUGGAGCCAAUCCCAGAAAGCCGAUCGUAGUCCGGAUUGUUCUCUGCAACUCGAGAGCAUGAAGUCGGAAUCGCUAGUAAUCGCGGAUCAGCAUGUCGCGGUGAAUACGUUCCCGGGUCUU
rnacentral:rRNA from 1 species